rnacentral:rRNA from 1 species
GAUGAACGCUGGCGGCGUGCCUAAUACAUGCAAGUCGAGCGAACAGACGAGGAGCUUGCUCCUCUGACGUUAGCGGCGGACGGGUGAGUAACACGUGGAUAACCUACCUAUAAGACUGGGAUAACUUCGGGAAACCGGAGCUAAUACCGGAUAAUAUAUUGAACCGCAUGGUUCAAUAGUGAAAGACGGUUUUGCUGUCACUUAUAGAUGGAUCCGCGCUGCAUUAGCUAGUUGGUAGGGUAACGGCUUACCAAGGCGACGAUGCGUAGCCGACCUGAGAGGGUGAUCGGCCACACUGGAACUGAGACACGGUCCAGACUCCUACGGGAGGCAGCAGUAGGGAAUCUUCCGCAAUGGGCGAAAGCCUGACGGAGCAACGCCGCGUGAGUGAUGAAGGUCUUCGGAUCGUAAAACUCUGUUAUUAGGGAAGAACAAAUGUGUAAGUAACUAUGCACGUCUUGACGGUACCUAAUCAGAAAGCCACGGCUAUCUACGUG